GGCAUUCGCUGGGGGUGUUGGGUCCGUCCGCGGGCCCGACUGAGACAGUCCCUUUGAACCUGAUUGAGGUAAUCCUCGCGCAGGGAAGCUUGGUUGACGCCGC
rnacentral:ncRNA from 1 species